rnacentral:lncRNA from 1 species
AAUACAGCAGCAGAGAGGCGUGGCAUUCGAGCAAAGGAAAACCUCAAAUUGAAUCAGCAAAAGCCGAACAAGCAAUUGAAGUAGCAGCCCAGAAUUUCAGCUAAUCGGAAGAAGGGAAGCUCGACGAUUGGAGGAAUUUUCUUCUCCAAGACUCAGUUUGUAAUUUAUGCUGAUUACAAUUGAUUCUUGUUUCGUUUCAAUUGCUAUGAGUGGUUAGAAUAUUCAAGCUUAGUUAGACACUUAUGAAACCUAGCACAAGGAAUUUGUAGAUUUAUUUUAAAUUUGGAUUUGGCAUUCUUGAGUUGCUUGCUUUAUCGUUCAAGGAAUUUUUCUAAAUCAAUUAGAUUGAUCACCUACUUAAUUUA